rnacentral:rRNA from 1 species
GUCCACGCCGUAAACGAUGAUAACUAGUUGUUCGGGUUCACAGAACUUGAGUGACGCAGCUAACGCAUUAAGUUAUCCGCCUGGGAGUACGGUCGCAAGAUUAAACUCAAAGGAAUUGACGGGCCUGCACAAGCGGUGGAGCAUGUGGUUUAAUUCGAAGCAACGCGCAGAACCUUACCAGCCUUUGACAUCCUCUGACGAUUACCGGAGACGGUUUUCUCCUUCGGGACAGAGUGACAGGUGCUGCAUGGCUGUCGU